ensembl:lncRNA
UGGAACAUUUCUGUUUUAUUUCAGCUCAUGAAACAUGGGACCAACACUUUACAUGGUGUAUUUAUAUUUUUGUUCAAUAUCAAACAAACAUGCCUCUCUGACAUGUAAAAUACUGAAAUCACAGCAGCUCUAUUCAUAGAAUUUUUAUCUAGAAUGUUCCAAAACCUUUUCCUACUGAACAUGGCCCUGGUUUUAAAAAUGGCAGUUAUUGGCAACACCAUGGCAACAACACAACCACAACCAACUCUGAUUGGCCAGUCAAAAGACACAACCAACUCUGAUUGGCCAGUCAAAAGACACAACCAACUCUGAUUGGCCAGUCAAAAGACACAACAAACUCUGAUUGGCCAGUCAAAAGACACAACAAACUCUGAUUGGCCAGUUAAGCCAGACAGAGGUACUGUAUGUAGUAAAAAAACAACUUUAAAAAGCAGGAAUAAUAAACAAUAAUAAAACAAUGCAAUACUGUGAGAUCAUGGCACAGAUAUAGACAGACUGACCGGCAGAUAUAUGACCAUAGAAAUAGACACAGGCAGGGUAUAGAUAAUACUGGUGUGGUACUUUAAAAAUACCGCAGCGUUGUUGGAGCAACACUACGUAGUUGUGUGUUCGUAUCCAUGGUUACCAUAGGUAGAGCCCAGCCUCGUUCCAGACACAGCGGAGAUAACGUCAGAGCAGGUCCACUGACUACAUCUCCCAGAGGGCUUUUUCCAAAAUAAAAGUCCCCGUGAUAUCUGCACCGGUUGUUCACGAGUAUUGAGUGAACCUCGUGUCAUGUAAGCUACAACAGUACUGUGUGUCUCUGCGUGAUGGUGGACAAGGUUCAGUUUCAAACUGUCACUUCUAGAGAUAUGGGUUUAACAGAUCCCAAGGUCCUGUUUCAAACUGUCACUUCUAGAGAUAUGGGUUUAACAGAUCCCAAGGUCCUGUUUCAAACUGUCGCUUCUAGAGAUAUGGGUUUAACAGAUCCCAAGGUCCUGUUUCAAACUGUCACUUCUAGAGAUAUGGGUUUAACAGAUCCCAAGGUUCCGUUGUUUCCAUAUUGGUCAGUGCGUGACCUGAACUCUUAUUGUGAAACACUUUGUUCCAGAUGCAUUUCCUGGGCUCCAUGUAACAGUUCCAUGACACAGAAUAGCCCACCAGGUAACCAACCAGCCAAGUCCAUAUCUCAGAAAGGUAUAGCCACACCUUUUACUCCAUACUGUAGUUACAGCUCCAUAAUCCAUACAGGGCAGAGGACCAUAAACCAUAGCCAGUCUAUUCCCCAUGUAGGUACGAGGUGAGCCAUGUAAUCCCAUCCCAGGUAGGUCCAUCCCAGAUCAGUUUAUCCAGGUAGGUCCAUCCCAGGUAGCCAUAGACAGGUAGGUCCAUCUCGGGUAGCCAUAGACAGGUAUGUCCAUCUCGGGUAGGUCCAUCCCAGGUAGGUCCAUCCCAGGUAGGUCCAUCCCAGGUAGCCAUAGACAGGUAGGUCCAUCCCAGAUCAGUUUAUCCAGGUAGGUCCAUCCCAGGUAGCCAUAGACAGGUAGGUCCAUCCCAGAUCAGUUUAUCCAGGUAGGUCCAUCCCAGGUAGCCAUAGACAGGUAUGUCCAUCUCGGGUAGCCACAGACAGGUAGGUCCAUCCCAGAUCAGUUUAUCCAGGUAGGUCCAUCCCAGGUAGCCAUAGACAGGUAUGUCCAUCCCAGGUAGCCAUAGACAGGUAUGUCCAUCUCGGGUAGCCAUAGACAGGUAUGUCCAUCUCGGGUAGGUCCAUCCCAGGUAUGUCCAUCCCAGGUAGCCAUAGACAGGUAGGUCCAUCCCAGGUAGCCACAGACAGGUAGGUCCAUCCCAGGUAGCCAUAGACAGGUAUGUCCAUCUCGGGUAGGUCCAUCCCAGGUAUGUCCAUCCCAGGUAGCCAUAGACAGGUAUGUCCAUCCCAGGUAGCCAUAGACAGGUAGGUCCAUCCCAGGUAGCCACAGACAGGUAGGUCCAUCCCAGGUAGCCAUAGACAGGUAUGUCCAUCCCAGGUAGCCAUAGACAGGUAUGUCCAUACAUGCAGCCAUAGACAGGUAGGUCCAUCCCAGGUAGCCAUAGACAGGUAUGUCCAUACAUGCAGCCAUAGUCCAAGUAAAUCUUAGCCUGCAGGUAUGUCUCCGUCCUCUGUCCCAGGUUAGAUUUGUCCCAGGGCCAGGCUAAACCAGACUUAACCCCGGUACAGUCAUGGUUCUGGCACCAGUGUGGCCCCAGUUAGGCCCUGUGGUCUCAGGACUGGUUGUCCCCAGUAGGGGUUGGUGGUUCGAGUGACAGUUCUUCGUCAGACAGCCCCGUUUCCACAGCGAUCACCAGGGAUGCCACAGACGCACUGCUGGUCAUGGGCUGGAACUCACCUAGAGAGAGAGAGACAGGGGGAGGAGGAGACAAAAGAAGGAUGAGAGAGACCGAGAGAGGGAGAGAGAAAGAGGGAUGAGAGAGAGAAAGAAGAGGGGGGAGGGAGAGAAAGAAAGAGGGAGAGGUGAGGAUGCAAUUCAUUAAAGCUGCCACCAGGUGGCACUAUGAGUGCUGUUUGUGUGUGUGCGUAUGUGUGCGUGUGUGUGCGUGGUGUGACUGUGGGCUGCGUGGUGUGACUGUGCGUGUCGCUAGCCUCGCCCGCCGCCCGGCGCUAGCCUCGCCCGCCGCCCGGCGCUAGCCUCGCCCGCCGCCCGGCGCUAGCCUCGCCCGCCGCUAGUCUCGCCCGCCGCUAGUCUCGCCCGCCGCCUGUCGCUAGUCUCG